UACAGAGGGUGCGAGCGUUGUUCGGAAUUAUUGGGCGUAAAGCGCUUGUAGGCGGCUUGUUAAGUUCCGUGUGAAAUCCCCAGGCUUAACCUGGGAAGUGCGCGGAAAACUGGCGAGCUUGAGUGCCGGAGAGGGUCGCGGAAUUCCCGGUGUAGAGGUGAAAUUCGUAGAUAUCGGGAGGAACACCAGUGGCGAAGGCGGCGACCUGGA
rnacentral:rRNA from 1 species